AUGAACGCUUUCCUCCUUCCUAAUACAUGCAAGUCGAGCGAACAGACGAGGAGCUUGCUCCUUCGACGUUAGCGGCGGACGGGUGAGUAACACGUAGGUAACCUACCUAUAAGACUGGGAUAACUUCGGGAAACCGGAGCUAAUACCGGAUAAUAUUUCGAACCGCAUGGUUCGAUAGUGAAAGAUGGCUUUGCUAUCACUUAUAGAUGGACCUGCGCCGUAUUAGCUAGUUGGUAAGGUAACGGCUUACCAAGGCAACGAUACGUAGCCGACCUGAGAGGGUGAUCGGCCACACUGGAACUGAGACACGGUCCAGACUCCUACGGGAGGCAGCAGUAGGGAAUCUUCCGCAAUGGGCGAAAGCCUGACGGAGCAACGCCGCGUGAGUGAUGAAGGUCUUCGGAUCGUAAAACUCUGUUAUUAGGGAAGAACAAACGUGUAAGUAACUGUGCACGUCUUGACGGUACCUAAUCAGAAAGCCACGGCUAACUACGUG
rnacentral:rRNA from 1 species